rnacentral:lncRNA from 1 species
GCCCGUUUUAGAUAAGGAUAAGGAGGGAAAGUUGGAAAAGCAAGGGUCUAUACCCGGGUCCUGCUGGCUGCAUGGCACACUGCACUGUAGGGUCAGUCCUGUUAGAGAUUAGAAGAGCACAGGACAGUUUCUUCAGUCCUCUCUGCAUUUUGCUUAUAAAGAAUUGUCUUUAGAGUUCCCGGCCACAAGGAGGCAGUAAAGUGUUUCUGAGUCUGCCUGCCCUCAUGUCUCUAACGGGAGCAGUGUCUGAAUUCUCAGAACUGUGAUGUCUAGUGGCAGAGUAGCGAGCGUGCCCACUAGUGCUGUGUGUGUGGAAAUUAUGGUUUCCUGGACUCUCCCAGCGGACGCUACCAAGAAUACACUUUAGAAAUACGAUUUAUACCUUCAAUGCCGUACAUUUUGUAGAUUCUUCUAAAGCUCGGCAAGUGUGCUCUUUGUUAUAACUCUGUGACCACAAGUUAAGAAAGCCAAAUGGCCAUGUCUUAGGCUGUCGACCGUGGCUCAGCCUUUAUGACUUGGGGACAACAUCUCUGCUGGUUACCCUUUCCCUGAUGUUUGCUGUGGGUACAGGCUAGUGUGGGCUUUAGAUGAGGGAGAGGAAGGACCCAAGGCUCCACCUCUCAGUUGCUUUUUACAGUUUUCUAUCAGAAACAAUUGCUGUUGUUAUUACUGUUACUGUUACCAAUGGUGCAGGAGGAGGCUCUUGCCUUCAUCUUCUCCUGUGCCGGUGGAAAGUGUGUUAUCCCAUCCUAUGGAAAAGUGCACAUAUGCACAGCUCAGUGGCUAUUCUUAAAGGGCGAGUGUUCAUCUUCUGAUGAAAAAAUUCUUCUUAGGUGAAAGAGCGAAAAAAGCAACUAAAGAAGGAAGGGAAGCCUACGAAUGUAGAGGAAGAUGAUCCCGAGCUGUUCAAACAGGCAGUCUACAAACAGACCAUGAAGCUGUUUGCUGAGCUGGAGAUUAAAAGGAAAGAGAGAGAAGCCAAAGAAAUGCAUGAGAGGAAGCGACAGAGAGAAGAGGAGAUCGAAGCCCAGGAAAAAGCCAAGCGAGAAAGAGAAUGGCAGAAAAACUUUGAGG